UACGAAGGGGGCUAGCGUUGUUCGGAAUCACUGGGCGUAAAGGGCGCGUAGGCGGCUGUUCAAGUCGGGGGUGAAAGCCUGUGGCUCAACCACAGAAUUGCCUUCGAUACUGGACGGCUCGAGACCGGAAGAGGUCAGUGGAACUGCGAGUGUAGAGGUGAAAUUCGUAGAUAUUCGCAAGAACACCAGUGGCGAAGGCGGCUGACUGGUCCG
rnacentral:rRNA from 1 species